rnacentral:rRNA from 1 species
UACGUAGGGGGCAAGCGUUGUCCGGAUUUAUUGGGCGUAAAGAGCGUGUAGGCGGCCAAACAGGUCAGCUGUGAAAACUCGAGGCUCAACCUCGAGACGUCGGUUGAAACCGUUUGGCUAGAGUCCGGAAGAGGAGAGUGGAAUUCCCGGUGUAGCGGUGAAAUGCGGCAGAUAUCGGGAAGAACACCCGUGGCGAAGGCGGCUCUCUGGGACGGUACUGACGCGUGAGACGCGAAAGCGUGGGGAGCGAACAGG